GCCCCCUUAGCUCAGUCGGCCAGAGCAUCUGUCUUGUAAACAGAGGGUCGCCGGUUCGAAUCCGGCAGGGGGCU
rfam:Tersicoccus sp. Bi-70 scaffold7_cov1214_read202, whole genome shotgun sequence.